rnacentral:rRNA from 1 species
UACAGAGGGUGCAAACGUUGUUCGGAAUUACUGGGCGUAAAGCGUGUGUAGGCGGUCCACUAAGUCGGGUGUGAAAGCCCUGGGCUCAACCCAGGAAGUGCACUCGAAACUGGCGGGCUUGAGUAUCGGAGAGGUUGGUGGAAUUCUCGGUGUAGAGGUGAAAUUCGUAGAUAUCGAGAGGAACACCGGUGGCGAAGGCGGCCAACUGGACGAAUACUGACGCUGAGACACGAAAGCGUGGGGAGCAAACAGG